UAUGAAGAAAAUAAAAUAAUAAUAAUAAUAAUAAUAAUAAUAAUAAUAAUAAUAAUAAUAAAUUUAUGCCUCACCCAUCUGGCUGGGUUUCCCCAGCCAUGCUGGGCAGCUCCCAACAGAAUAUUAAAAACAUGAUAAAACAUAAAACAUUAAAAACUUUCCUAAACAGGGAUGCCUUCAGAUGUCUACUAAAAGUAAGAUAGUUGUUUAUUUCUUUGACAUCUGAUGGGAGGGCAUUCCACAGGGCGGGUGCCACUACCGAGAAGGCCCUCUGCCUUGUUCCCUGCAACCUCACUUCUCGCAGUGAGGGAACCACCAGAAGGCCCUCAGCGCUGGACCUCAGUGUCCGGGCUGAAUGAUGGGGGUGGAGAUGCUCCUUCAGGAGGCCGUUUAGGGAAUAGGCUGCAUUUACAUGGCAGUUUAUUCCCUUUCCCUGCUAAUUUCUACAUUACACCUGAACUUUCACAUGGUGUGAAAGCUACUUCCAGAAAAUUGAUGGAAAUAGUGCAUGUUUAGCAUUCAUUUCUGUGUUAUUCGGUUAAAGAAAAAUCCUUUUGCAGCCCCCUUGACCUGGAAAGUUGUGGCAGUAAAGUGAUGGAAUUUGGAUUGGUAUACCGAUAUAGAGUUCUUUCCUGAGGUUAUAAUGGGACAGAAGCGCUACUGUUUUUAUCACUAGCCCAUGUCUGAAUACACCCAUAGGAGGGCAUCUCCUCCCUCUCUCUGAGGCUUUUGAUAUUUUCCCUCUCUCCUCCAGAGGUACUGCAGCUGGACUCCUUCAUCUGCCAGAAGUGGAACCUCCAGGGGAUGGAUGACUGACAGGGAAGUGGGAAGGCUGGUCCAUGGCCCACCAACCGCCCAGCCAUUGCUCACUGUCAAAAUCUCUUCCCAGGAGGGGAAAGAAAAUGGGCUACGUCUCACCAGCCUAUGCAGCAACAAGCUACUGCAGCUCCUUUCUUCUCUCGCCUCACACACCUUUACAUCAGAGGGAGCACAAGUGGCCAUUCCAUCCUCAAGUGUGUUGAAUGUUCCCAUGGUCAACAUUUCACCUUUAAUGGUUUAGCAGGCCCAUCUUGUGUAGAGGUAGCAGGAUCAAUCUGCCACGAACCUCCAGAGAAGUCUCCUUGUGAGAAUCCCACACCUUUGCAGGGUUGUACUCCCCCCCCCAAUGAUAACAAUACUUAACAAGGCUUAGUAUAUUUCCAUAAAAUAAAUUGUAAGGUAUCAACAACAACAAUCCAGAAAAAGAAAAUACACCCAAACAGCACAUGAAGUUAAACCAAAUAACACAUAAGAAAAGAGGCUCAUACUUCCAUGUUCCAAUAUGUUAUAACUAUACUAAAUUUCUCAACAAAUCCAUUUUCAGCUUGACUACAUUUUCUGUGCCUGUUAUUUUUAACAUACAUGUCAUAUAUAUAUAUCCUAGAUCCUCAGUAGUAAUCCCAUUCCUGCACAAUUAUACUUGCAUCAACUUCCAAGAAAUCACUUCCCAUAAUAUUUUGCUGUGCCUCUGGAAAGCUCUGAGCAGCUUUUGAUUUGAAAAGUUUCCCCUAUUUCUACUGUGUAUACUGUAUCUGUAUCUACAGUGGUACCUCUACUUAUGAAUAACUCUACUUACGAAUGUUUCUACUUACGAAUGGAGCUCCGUCCGCCAUCUUGGAUGCGGUUUAGAUAGGAUUUUUUCUACUUACGAAUUUUUAGAUAGGGUUGCUUCUACUUACGAAUUUUUUCUCCCAAUGCAUUCCUAUGGGAUUUGACUUGCAUUUUUUUCGACUUACGAAUGUGCGUUCAGAACGCAUUAAAUUCGUAAGUAGAGGUACCACUGUAUUCAAAUUCCAAUCCACCUUACAAUGCGCUAUGAAGAAUGGGGAGCACAUUUUUAGUCUCCCGUCUCAUAGACCCUUUAGGUUAUUUAAUUCUUUCCUGCAUCAUGACCAAAUAUUCUAUACCAGAGUCAUCUGAAGGCAUGAACUCCUUUUGUACUGCAGAUUAGAAGGAAUGCUAUUUGUAUCUCAGUGACAGCUGUGAACAGGCAAUGUUUCAAUCCUAGUGUAGCUGUGGAAGCCAAAGAACAGCUGAAAGGACUUUCGUGAUUUUGGUGCCACAACUUGCCACCUGUCCUUGCUUCAAGACCAGUGUUUGUAAUGAAUGUGCUCAUUUCAACAAAGGUAACUGAACUAAUUUUUACAAAAUCUCUGAACUACACCUGAAAGUAGUUUCCAUAAUAAAGUAUUGGUGAGUUAAGUGCAUUUAUAAAGCCUCCGAUGGCUCCAUCUCCUUGCUUAAGCUCCUCAUGUUGCAUAUGUGGGCAGAACCCCCAGCCUGGCCAGGCUCACUAGAAAUUCUCCGAAGUGCCUGAUCUGAUUACAGUGGUACCUUGGUUUACAAACACAAUUGGUUCCGGAAGUCCAUACUUAACCUGAAGCGUACUUAACCUGAAGCGGACUUUCCCAUUGAAAGUAAUGGAAAGUGGAUUAAUCUGUUCCAGACAGGUCCGCUGAAUACUUAAACUGAAAAUACUCAAAUCGAGGCGUACUUAAACUAAGGUAUGACUGAAGAAGAAGUGUGCAUGCACACGAAAGCUCAUACCAAAAUAUAAACUUAGUUGGUCUUUAAGGUGCUACUGAAGGAAUUUUUUUAUUUUGCUUCGACUCAGACCAACACGGCUACCUACCUGUUACUAAGGUAUGACUGUAUGACAAGGUAUGAGCUUCUGCUGAAUAAGUCCCUGGCCCUUGGAAAACAAUGUAAUUUUAAUGCAAAAUUGAAUCCUCUUUUGUUCCCUUGUAUUUGCAAUGUUUAAUUCUCCCACCCCAUUUUUUGUUUUGUCAUCCUAAAUGUAAAGUGAACACAUUGUAUUUUCUCUUAAUUGAAAUUCAGAAACCGAAUUUGCCUUUCCUAAAGAUGACAGUUUAGAAGGAACAAUGUUUAGAAUUCCUAGAGCGUUUAUUAGGUUUCCUGCAACUUUCCCAAUGAACUACCUGCUAAGUUUAAAGCAUGUUGUUGACUCUCCCAUAAGCAUGUAGUCUGGUAGUGCUGCUGAAAAGUCAGCGUGGACUGACAAAUAACUUUAAAAAUUCAUCUGCUGCAAGCACAAAAGCUGAGCCCUGUGAAUAGGCCCUUAUUUUUCUGGCCACCACUGAGUUUAUUAAGCAAAGCUAUCUGACAGGGUCUCUCUCCCCUCACUAGAGAGCCAUUCUGAAUGCUGAAACAUUUCAUCAGGCCUAAUAUGGCUGUGUAUUUUCUGCAAUUGCAACUCAGCUGCUUUUUUGUGUGUGCCCUAUUUUGUUGGGAAAGAUCGCAGUGAGGAUAUUCAGUGAAUUAGGAGUCUAAUGCAGAGGAUUUCUUUGUGGGCUUCUGCUGGGAAGCGAGCAAGUAAAUUGCAUGACAGAAUUGAGGCUUAUAAAUUUGUGAUAGGUCUCACACUGUGCAGGUGCCUGAGCCAAAGAAAAUAUAUCUAGAAGAGAACAGACACAUCCAAUGCACAGGGAACAACUGUCUGCCCUGCUUCUGACCUUUCCUAGCUGUCUGGUUAAGAAGGUGGCGUGGAAACUGGUGAAUCCCAUCUUCCUAGUUCAAAGCAUAAUGCAUGAUAAUCAGUAGGAAGAACAGGAAAAGGGGGAGAGGAAAAAAUAGUCACGGAAGUUAAAACUUUAUCCCUCCUUCCACUACAUUCCAGUUAAUGUCAUGUGCUAACUAAGUCCUCAUUUCUGGAACUUCAGCGCUUUAUUUCUGAAGCUAAUCAUGAAGCCACCUUAGAACUUUUGGUUUUUCAACCAUUUCCCCAAGAACUUUGGUCAGAAUUCCAGUUCUACAGAAAUCUCUCCCUGGUCUGCCUCGGGGUUUUUCAGCCACAGAAUCACUGAUUGGACUUGAUUCACUAAAACUUUGCCAAAUUUUGCUUGGAAGGACCCUGUUCAGGGUAGAUGUUAAAAGGCAGCUUCUGAAUGAAUUUUACUAGCCUGGCAGUGUGCGCAUGUUUACUUUCAGCAUAUCUCACAAAAAACAUCCUCUCAGCUUGCCUUUGCAUACACCAAACUAUCCCCCCCCCAAUGUUUACUUGUCUCAUUUAUGGGAGCUCCCAGCACAUACAUUGCCUGAACAAAAGGGGGAGCUGGAAAAUAUUCCCUAUGUGCUAAAUGGAUUGAACUCAUCUCUGUGAUGGGAAUUGUUUGUUUCUGCUCACUUACUACCCUGAGAGUUUUCCAUUCAACCCAGCCUUUGGAAGUCUAGAUUGAAUUUCAACAUGGGUGGCAUAACUUUUCAAUGAAACAUCCUCCAUGGAAAGUCAUCAGUCACUGUUUCAAACAUGGCAGUUCUGGGCUCAUCUACCUUGUCAGAGCUCGAAAGGGCACCAGUUCCCUUUUUCUUCCCCACCUUGCUGUUACCUUGUUUAGAAACCCAUUUCUUGUCACUCCCAUCACAUUGUUACUUUCCUGUUGGCAAGCAGUCCUCACUGUGGUUGUUAUGGGGAAGAGGGGGGGAAAGAAACCCAACAAUUUUUUAAAAAAGUUUCCUAAAGCAGCUCUCUUACCUGUCACAUCUGAAUUUCAUUAGUGUUGACAGAAAAGCAUGAUGGUUCUUAAUUGAAGAUUCACACCUGUGGUAUGACAGCAGCUGCUUCUUUUUUUCAGGCUACCUUCGGGCCUCUCCUCAGCUUGCUGCUGUUCUGAGGAACGGUAUUUAUUGGGAGAAAUGCAUUUCUUUAAUAAAAAGGCUUUUCAAGGCAAUGCUCAUUUUCAA